ensembl:lncRNA
GUAAAAUCCACCUUAAUGGCAUGUUUUUAGCCCACUAUUAUAACUUCAACUUGGAAUCAAUAUAAAAAUUAUUGAGACCAUUUACCAUCUUUUUUUCACUAAGUUCUAAGUCAUUUUUCUGCAGUCAUACACAACGAGACCAGAUAUGUUCAGGUUCCACGGGCUUAACGGCCACGGUCAUCUUUUUUUCACAGAGACUCUGAAAUCUGGUAUGGUCUGAGCCGGCUGGUCCCGGUUCAGACCAGCCGCGUGUGGAUAGCGGCUGUCAUACCAGACAGCCUUGGUCUAACGAGCCUUAUUUUAUUUCUCCUCUCCGCGGGCGAGAGCCAGCACCACUUGCAUCGAACAGGGAGGGGACUGAGGCUCAGAGCUGAUAGUGGCGGUCAUGGGAUCAGCAGCAACAGUGGUUUGCUCACUGAACAGGGUUCUGUUUGAGCCCUGAUUUUGCCACUUCCGAUUUCCGUGACCUCUGGCAGGCUGUUUCAAGUCUCCUAGGCGGUUUCCCUACAACUGAAGUAAAAGAGAAAAAAUAACUCCUACUCAUAGAGUGCAAGGAUUAGAGAGCGUGUUUGCAAAGGACUCUCAGGUGGCUGGCACAUACAAAAGGGUUAAUAAAUGCUGGCGAUUCUGAUAGCAAUGGACCAGGCAGAACCUCUCCACUGGAGGGAGAUCCCUCAGUUGGUUCCCGGAGAACAUUCCAGAAGAGCUGUCUCAGCCUCAGAACCUCUAAGGAGGCCCUGGGUGGAGUCUGUGGCAUUCGGUGGCGCGGUCCUCGCCUCGAAGGGAUCCCGGCUCUCUGGGAGCUCCGCUGCACCUCACUCCAGGGUACCGGCUUUGCCAGCUCCCUCUCAGGGGGAUCCAGAUCUCGCUGCGUGGCGCCCAGGAAUCCACACACACUGAACAGGACUCCCUAGGUGAUGAUGGUUCAGCCCAUCUGACUUGUGAGAAGCGCUGGAGUAAAUCAUUUGCUUUUGUUUUUCCUUGACAUUUUCUUACAAAAGUUUUCAGGCAUCCAAGAAUGUUAAAAGCCUAGAAUAUUCCAUCCUGAUUUACGAGUUGUUAGUAUUUCGCCAUACUUUGUGUACACUUAACCAAAAUUAAGAGUAGUCCAUAAUAUGAUACAAUAUCCUGUGCAUAUGAAAAAGCAUAUAUAUUUCUAUACAGUGAAAAUUAACACAACAUUGUAAAUCAACUGCACUUCAAUAAAAUUUACAAAAACAAACAAAACUAGGUGGAAAGAACUUUCUGACCCAGAGUCUGGGCCCUGGAAGGCAGUUUUUGUAUUCACGAGCUUAAAGUAAUUUUUAAGUGCUCAUCAUGUAAAUGUGAAGAGAAAUAAAUUCAGGAUAUGAAUGUAUACAUAUAGAAUGAUCCCUAUUUGGGAAAAAUAAUAUAUUUAAUCAUAAACAUAUACAUGGAGAGAAAAUACUGGGAAGAAAGUCAACUAAAUGUUUCCUUGGUUAUCUCAGGAUUGUGGAUUUACGGGAAAACUUUGUUUUCUCCAUCUUUAUUUUCCAAAUCUCCUAUACUGAGUGCGUAUUACUUCUAUUGUCAUUCAAAUGUAGCUUUUUGAAAAUCAGGUUUUAAUUAUUGCUGCUAAUUGCAUAGUGCUGUUUACUCAAACUUCAAAAAUGCUGCACAGAAACCUUUAGAAAGCGGCUGCUAAGUCCCACUGAAUUCUCCACGACAAUCGUGAGCCCAUCUUCAUGUUAGGGAUAAGCAACUGAGCUUUCUGAGAACCCCAGAGGGUCAGGAUAAGAACUGGGCUCAGUGCCAGAGGGGAAGGUGUAGACGGAUCGCCCUGGGGGGCUUGUGAAAACACAGAUUGCAAAUACGGCUGAGGCAGGACCACACAGGAGAAGCAGGGCCUGGGGGCAGAGACCCAUGUCAGGACCCCCGCUCUAAGACUGUGUCUCGGUUUCCUCAC